AAAGUGGCACGCGAGCUGGGUUCAGAACGUCGUGAGACAGUUCGGUCCAUAUCCACCGUGGGCGUAGGAAACUUGAGGGGUUCACUUCCUAGUACGAGAGGACCGGAAUUGACGCACCUCUGGUGUGGCAGUUGUCGUAGCAACGGCAGCGCUGCGUAGCUAAGUGCGGAAGAGAUAAGCGCUGAAAGCAUCUAAGCGCCAAGCUCAUCCCAAGACAAGGUUUCCCCAUCAGGCUCCUGGAAGACUACCAGGUUGAUAGGCCAGAGGUGUAAGCGCAGUAAUGUGUUUAGCUGACUGGUACUAAUGUCCGAUUGGCUUAUCUUA
rnacentral:rRNA from 1 species